GCACUGCUGACGAGUCCUAAACAGGACGCAACAGCUGUCCAGUAC
rnacentral:hammerhead_ribozyme from 1 species